GGGAGUCACGCACAUGGCCAAGUCCCUGGGGAUGCGCUGCCUCGGUCUCGGGUUGUAAUACGGCCCUGGGGUUUGGCAGAAGGAGCAACAGGCAGGAGAUAAACACGCUCCAUGAUGUUAAGAUCAGGGCUCUGUGGGGGCCAGACCAUCACUUCCAGUUCAAGACCCAAAACCAUACCUAAAAAUAAACUAAGAAGAAAGGCUGAAUGAGUCUCUGAUUCUGUGAAAGUGCACAGAAAGAACAGCUCAAAGACAUCUGGCGUUACACGAAUGUGGUGCACAGGACAAAGAGAGUUUGUUUGUUUAUUUGUUUUUGUAAAGCUGCAGAAAACGACAGAAAGAAGCAAAAAGAGACAAAGACGACAGCAACAAAGCAACCAAACUCAAGAGGGCAGCUAUUUUAGGAUAUAUCCAUCAAAAAAUAUGCUGACUUGAGCAGAUUGUUGUGGAAAGAGAAUGCAGCUGAGGGAGAUAGGAGAAGCAAUUUGUUUUUAUUGUCAUUUAUUCUUUUUUAACUUUUGCUGAUUUGCUAAUGAGUUUGUCUGUAAAUAAGCAGAGUAGGAUUAUAACCCAGCAAGAAGGAAAUCCUGACAUCAGCACAAGGUCUGACAUUACUGAUGCUGUAUCUGUUUUCACAAACACACACACACACACACACACACACACACACACACACACACACACACACACACAAAAAGGUGAAAACAGACACUGUGAAGCUUUUUCUCAGCAAGCUGUUACCCUAUAGGUUACCCGCCGUCACUUUGCGGAAAACAAAUACGAGCAUCGUAGGCCUCUGAGGAUAGCCACUGAUCACUUGCCAAGCAUCUUUAUUUUAAAACGGUUGAAAGACACUGUUUGGGCACGCCCUUACAUGUGCAACAGACUUGUCAAGUGUUAAGUGUUUUCUGUUUUUCAUUAUAAGGCACUUUCUGUUGACUGAAAUCAGCAGAUUUAAAAAGUCAUUUUCUCUCUCUCUUUAUCUAUGCCGCAAGGGCAUUUGCUAGCACCAAACCAGCCAAGAAAGCUUACGAUGCUUUUCUGGACAAAAAAAUACCUGUCAGUAUGUACACAAAGAGAAGACAUUAUAUAUUAUGGAUGCAUCAGAAAAACUGCAAGGAAAAAAGGGUCUGUGCUGCUAAAGGCCAGGGGAAGCGUGGAAGUGCAUGUCUGAAAGAGGUAAACAGCAACAUAAAGCAACCAUUGCAACCCCACUGAAAGUCUCAGUGAUGUCAAAAUUAAAGUUUUUAAGUUUAAAAGAUUUUUUUAAAUCUCAGAAAAACAUCAGGAUCCAUCUUGUGAUGCACUCUAACAUGAUUCCCAAGGCCUUUGAAAAAAAAAAGAUCCACAGCAUAAUGGACCCUCCACCAUACUUAACAUGAGAAAUGAGGUGCUUUUUCACAUAGUCAUUAUUUCUUUUUCACCAGAGCCAUCUGAAGUACAGUAUUUGCUGACAAAGAGCUCAAACUCAGUAUCACCUGACUAAAGCACACAGUUACAGUUUGAUCCUCAGUAGCAUUUGGUUGCUGGCGUACCUUCCAAACAAAAGGUUUGCUAACAUCUAUAGUUGAGGCUAUUGCUUUAAACUUUACUUAAGAUCUCUAACAAUGGGAUCUGGAGAUCCCCCCUCUCCAUCCUCCUCGUUGUGCAUGGUGGCAAGAUAAAAAUGGGACCUUGUCCAGCACAGUGGCCUAAGGCUUAAGCAAAUGGGUCUCUGUGCCACAUCAGUGGGGAAAAGAGACAUAAGGAAUUAUUAAAAAUACAAACAAAAAAAAGCUUACAUUUAGUCAGACAGUCAUUUUCUACCACUUAUUCCAUAGUGGGUCACAGGGGAGCUGG